rnacentral:misc_RNA from 1 species
UCUAGGUAUUCUUUUUUUUUUUUUAAUCUAAUUUCAUCCACACCUAGCAUAAAGGAAAAGGCUUUUUUCUCUCCUAUCACUGAAGCUAUCUCCAAACGAAAAGGGGGAAAAAAGAAGAAAAAACAAAGUAGAAGAAGAGUGGAAGAGAAGAUUGAAAUCUGUUGCUCCCUCCACCCACUUGAGUUUUCUCAAUGAUUUGUCUUUUAAUUUUUGUCCUCCUCUGCUUUUCUAAUUUCUGUCAAGAGGACGAUGAAGGGGUAGGACAUGAAGAAAAGAAGUUUGAUGAAGAAGAAAAUUGAGAUACUUUUGAUGAAGUGCAGUUAUUUUAGAAUAUAGAAUGGUUUUUAAGAGAUUGAUUUCUAUAAUAGUUUAGUUUUAUUUUAUUUG